UACGAAGGGGGCUAGCGUUGUUCGGAAUUACUGGGCGUAAAGCGCGCGUAGGCGGCUUUGUAAGUCAGGGGUGAAAUCCCGGGGCUCAACCUCGGAACUGCCUUUGAUACUGCAAGUCUCGAGUCCGAUAGAGGUGAGUGGAAUUCCUAGUGUAGAGGUGAAAUUCGUAGAUAUUAGGAAGAACACCAGUGGCGAAGGCGGCUCACUGGAUCGGUACUGACGCUGAGGUGCGAAAGCGUGGGGAGCAAACAGG
rnacentral:rRNA from 1 species